rnacentral:rRNA from 1 species
UACGUAGGGGGCAAGCGUUGUCCGGAAUCAUUGGGCGUAAAGCGCGUGUAGGCGGCUUGGUAAGUCCGCUCUGAAAGCCCGGGGCUCAACCCCGGGAGGCGGGUGGAUACUGUCAAGCUCGAGUCCGGAAGAGGCGAGUGGAAUUCCCGGUGUAGCGGUGAAAUGCGUAGAUAUCAGGAGGAACACCGGUGGCGAAGGCGCCUAUCUGGCCCGAUACUGACGCUGAGGCGCGAAAGCUAGGGGAGCAAACGGG